rnacentral:misc_RNA from 1 species
AACUUUUGGCAAUGGAUCACUUGGCUCUCGCAUCGAUGAAGAACGCAGCGAAAUGCGACAAGUAAUGUGAAUUGCAGAAUUCAGUGAAUCAUCGAAUCUUUGAACGCACCUUGCACCCUUUGGCAUUCCGAAGGGUAUGCUCGUUUGAGUGUCAUUGUACUCUCACACUCCCGAUGCUUUUGGAUUGGGAGUGGUGGACUUGGGUGUUGCUGCUUUACUGUGGCUCACCUCAAAUGGAGUAGUGCAACUCUUGGUUGGACAUAGUACGGCGUGAUAAGUGUCUUCGCCGGCGCCUCAUUAGAGGGUGGCCGAUAGGGAGCUCUGUGCUUUACACCUUCUACGGACUACAGCUGUCAACUUGGCUUCGAAUCGAGUAGGGCUACACGAUGACCUUAAGCAUAAGUAUGUACGGUUGCU